rnacentral:rRNA from 1 species
CAGCAGCCGCGGUAAUACAGAGGGUGCGAGCGUUAAUCGGAUUUACUGGGCGUAAAGCGUGCGUAGGCGGCUUCUUAAGUCGGAUGUGAAAUCCCUGAGCUUAACUUAGGAAUUGCAUUCGAUACUGGGAAGCUAGAGUAUGGGAGAGGAUGGUAGAAUUCCAGGUGUAGCGGUGAAAUGCGUAGAGAUCUGGAGGAAUACCGAUGGCGAAGGCAGCCAUCUGGCCUAAUACUGACGCUGAAGUACGAAAGCAUGGGGAGCAAACAGGAUUAGAUACCCCCGUAGUCCCUGUCUCUUAUAC